rnacentral:rRNA from 1 species
GCUACCAUGCAGUCGAGCGGUAGAGAGGUGCUUGCUGCUCUUGAGAGCGGCAGAGGGGUGAGUAAAGCCUAUGACUCUGCCUGGGACUGGGGGAUAACGCUCGGAACCGGACGCUAAUACCGCAACCGUCCGACCGCAAAAAACAGGGGACCUUCAGGCCUUGCCCUAUCACAUGAGCCUAUGUCCGAAUAGCUAUAUGGUGAGGUAAUGGCUCAGCAUCGCCACGAUCCCUAACUGGACUGAGACGAAGAUCAUUCCCACUGGAACUGAAACUCGGACCAGACUCCUACUCCAGGCAGCAGUGGGGAAUAUUGAACAAGGGGCGAAAGCCUGAUCCAGCCAUGCCCCGUGUGUGAGUAAGGUCUUCGGAUUGUAAAGCACUUUAAGUUGGGAGGAAGGGUUGUAGAUUAAUACUCUGCAGUUUUGACAUUGCCGACACAAUAAGAACAGGCUAACUCUGUGCCCGUGCCCGCGGUAAUACUAAGGGUGCAGGCGUUAAUCUUAAUUACUGUUACGUAAAGCGCGCGUGCGUGGUUUGUUAAGUUGGAUGUGAAAUCCCCGGGCUCAACCUGGGAACUGCAUUGAAAACUGACUGACUAGAGUAUGGUAGAGGGUGGUGGAAUUUCAAGUGUAGCGGUGAAAUGCGUAGAGAUCUGGAGGAAUACCGGUGGCGAACGCGGCCCCCUGAACAAAGACUGACGCUCAGGUGCGAAAGCGUGGGGAGCAAACAGGAUAAGAUGCCCUGGUAGUCCACGCCGUAAACGAUGUC